rnacentral:rRNA from 1 species
GACGAACGCUGGCGGCGCGCUUAACACAUGCAAGUCGAACGGAAAGGCCUGCUUUCCCUUGUGGAUUGCGGGUACUCGAGUGGCGAACGGGUGAGUAACACGUGAGUGAUCUGCCCCCAACUUGGGUAUAAGCCUGGGAAACUGGGUCUAAUUCCCGAUAGGACUGCAGGGUGGUGCCUGUGGUGGAAAACGAUUUUCUAGUGGUUGGGGAUGAGCUCGCGGCCUAUCAGCUUGUUGGUGGGGUAAUGGUCUACCAAGGCGGCGACGGGUAGCCGGCCUGGGAGGGUGGACGGCCACAGUGGGACUGAGAUACGGGCCAGACUCCUACGGGAGGCAGCAGUGGGGAAUAUUGCGCGAUGGGCGGAAGCCUGAUGCAGCGACGCCGCGUGGGGGAUGACGGCCUUCGGGUUGUAAACUCCUUUCGACCGCGAGGAAGCCACCUGGUUGGAAGGGUGGUGACGGUAGUGGUAGAAGAAGCACCGGCUAACUACGUG